rnacentral:tRNA from 1 species
GUAGGUCUAGUUUAGCCAAAACAUUAGAUUGUGAUUCUAAAAAUAGGGGUUAAAGUCCCCUGAUCCACC